rnacentral:lncRNA from 1 species
AUGACAAACACAAAGGGAAAGAGGAGAGGUACCUGGUAUGUUCUCCAAGCCUUUUGGAAAACAUGGAGUUGUUCGUUUGGCCAGGUACAUGUGAAUCUGUAAGAAAGGUGAUAUGGUAGGCAUCAAGGGAAUGGGCACUGUUCAAAAAGGUAUAACCCACAGGUGUUACCAUGGCAAAACUGGAAGCGUUUACAAUGUUCCCCAGUGUACUGCUGGCAUUGUUGCAAAUGAACAAGGGCAUGAUUCUUGACAAGAGAAUUAAUGUGGGUAUUGAGCACAUUAAGCACUCUGGGAGUCAAGAUAGCUUCCUGAAACACGUGAAGGAAAAUGAUCAGAAAAAGAAGCCCAAGAGAAGGGUACCUGGGCUCAACUGAAGCGCCAGCUUGCUCCACGCAGAGAAGCGCACUGUGUGAGAACCAGUGGGAAAGGCCAGAGCUGCUAGAACCUAUUCCCUAUGAGUUCAUGGCAUAG